rnacentral:lncRNA from 1 species
CGUUCACAUUGACAUUUCUUGUUCAACAGGAAUACAUGAUGUCGACCAACAGUACAGCUAGAUGAAGAUAUAAAUUUAUUCAAAGAAAUAAUGGGACAAUGAAUGCUAAAAUUGCCAAGAAGAAGACAGCCAAUUAACACACCAUUUUAUACAGUAUGAUAUGGUGAACAAAAUGCCUCAAUGCAGCCAGUUCUGGAGCUUUG